AAGACUAUACUUUCAGGGAUCAUUUCUAUAGUGUGUUACUAGAGAAGUUUCUCUGAAUGUGUAGAGCACCAGUAUA
ensembl:snoRNA U3 Small nucleolar RNA U3